AACGCUAGCUACAGGCUUAACACAUGCAAGUUGAGGGGCAGCAUGGUCUUAGCUUGCUAAGGCCGAUGGCGACCGGCGCACGGGUGAGUAACACGUAUCCAACCUGCCGUCUACUCUUGGACAGCCUUCUGAAAGGAAGAUUAAUACAAGAUGGCAUCAUGAGUCCGCAUGUUCACAUGAUUAAAGGUAUUCCGGUAGACGAUGGGGAUGCGUUCCAUUAGAUAGUAGGCGGGGUAACGGCCCACCUAGUCUUCGAUGGAUAGGGGUUCUGAGAGGAAGGUCCCCCACAUUGGAACUGAGACACGGUCCAAACUCCUACGGGAGGCAGCAGUGAGGAAUAUUGGUCAAUGGGCGAGAGCCUGAACCAGCCAAGCAGCGUGAAGGAUGACUGCCCUAUGGGUUGUAAACUUCUUUUAUAAAGGAAUAAAGUCGGGUAUGUAUACCCGUAUGCAUGUACUUUAUGAAUAAGGAUCGGCUAACUCCGUGCCAGCAGCCGCGGUAAUACGGAGGAUCCGAGCGUUAUCCGGAUUUAUUGGGUUUAAAGGGAGCGUAGAUGGAUGUUUAAGUCAGUUGUGAAAGUUUGCGGCUCAACCGUAAAAUUGCAGUUGAUACUGGAUAUCUUGAGUGCAGUUGAGGCAGGCGGAAUUCGUGGUGUAGCGGUGAAAUGCUUAGAUAUCACGAAGAACUCCGAUUG
rnacentral:rRNA from 1 species